rnacentral:rRNA from 1 species
UACGAAGGUGGCAAGCGUUACUCGGAAUUACUAGGCGUAAAGCGCAGGUAGGUGGUUGGAUAAGUCCGUAAUGAAAUCUCCCGGCUUAACUGGGAGGGGUUUAUGGAUACUGUCCGGCUCGAGUGUGGGAGAGGUAACUGGAAUUCCAGGUGUAGCGGUGAAAUGCGUAGAUAUCUGGAGGAACACCAAUGGCGAAAGCAGGUUACUGGCCCAAUACUGACGCUGAGCUGCGAAAGCUAGGGGAGCAAACAGG